CAUUAAAGAAUCGCCCCGUUUUUUGAAAUGGGUUCUAUUCCCAAACCGUGUAUACAUACCUUUGUUGCUUUGGCAGGCCGCCUUUUAGGCGUCGGCUUCGGCUGACUGCGCCUGCCAGAGGACCCAAACUCGUUUGUUUAGUGAUGUCUGAGUACUAUAUAAUAGUUAAAACUUUCAACAACGGAUCUCUUGGUUCUGGCAUCGAUGAAGAACGCAGCGAAAUGCGAUAAGUAAUGUGAAUUGCAGAAUUCAGUGAAUCAUCGAAUCUUUGAACGCACAUUGCGCCCCUUGGUAUUCCGAGGGGCAUGCCUGUUCGAGCGUCAUUAUAACCACUCAAGCCUCGGCUUGGUCUUGGGGUUCGCGGUUCCGCGGCCCUUAAAAUCAGUGGCGGUGCCGUCUGGCUCUAAGCGUAGUAAUUCUCUCGCUAUAGGGUCCCGGCGGCUACCUGUCAAAACCCCCCCAUUUUUUACGGUUG
rnacentral:rRNA from 1 species